UGGGGGAUAUUGCACAAUGGAGGAAACUCUGAUGCAGCAACGCCGCGUGAGGGAAGAAGGUCUUCGGAUUGUAAACCUCAGUAGUCAGGGACGAAAGAAAUGACGGUACCUGAAGAGUAAGCUCCGGCUAACUACGUGCCAGCAGCCGCGGUAAUACGUAGGGAGCGAGCGUUGUCCGGAUUUACUGGGUGUAAAGGGUGCGUAGGCGGGAUAGCAAGUCAGACGUGAAAUACCGAGGCUUAACUUCGGGGCUGCGUUUGAAACUGUUAUUCGUGAGUGAAGUAGAGGCAGGCGGAAUUCCUAGUGUAGCGGUGAAAUGCGUAGAUAUUAGGAGGAACACCAGUGGCGAAGGCGGCCUGCUGGGCUUUAACUGACGCUGAGGCACGAAAGCAUGGGGAGCAAACA
rnacentral:rRNA from 1 species